UGAGAAAUAUUGGUCAAUGGUCGGGAGACUGAACCAGCCAAGCCGCGUGAGGGAUGAAGGUACAGAGUAUCGUAAACCUCUUUUGUCAGGGAACAAAAGGCGCCACGUGUGGCGCUCCGAGUGUACCUGAAGAAAAGCAUCGGCUAACUCCGUGCCAGCAGCCGCGGUAAUACGGAGGAUGCGAGCGUUAUCCGGAUUUAUUGGGUUUAAAGGGUGCGUAGGCGGCGAGUUAAGUCAGCGGUAAAAGCCCGGGGCUCAACCCCGCCCGCCGUCGAAACUGGCUUGCUUGAGUUGGAGAGAAGUAGGCGGAAUGCGCGGUGUAGCGGUGAAAUGCUUAGAUAUCGCGCAGAACUCCGAUUGCGAAGGCAGCCUACCGGCUCCACACUGACGCUGAGGCACGAAAGCGUGGGUAUCGAACAGGAUUAGAUACC
rnacentral:rRNA from 1 species